rnacentral:rRNA from 1 species
GAUGAACGCUGGCGGCGUGCCUAAUACAUGCAAGUCGAGCGAACAGACGAGGAGCUUGCUCCUCUGACGUUAGCGGCGGACGGGUGAGUAACACGUGGAUAACCUACCUAUAAGACUGGGAUAACUUCGGGAAACCGGAUCUAAUACCGGAUAACAUGUUGAACCGCAUGGUUCAACAGUGAAAGACGGUCUUGCUGUCACUUAUAGAUGGAUCCGCGCCGCAUUAGCUAGUUGGUAAGGUAACGGCUUACCAAGGCAACGAUGCGUAGCCGACCUGAGAGGGUGAUCGGCCACACUGGAACUGAGACACGGUCCAGACUCCUACGGGAGGCAGCAGUAGGGAAUCUUCCGCAAUGGGCGAAAGCCUGAUGGAGCAACGCCGCGUGAGUGAAGAAGGUCUUCGGAUCGUAAAACUCUGUUAUUAGGGAGGAACAAAUGUGUAAGUAACUAUGCCCGUCUUGACGGUACCUAAACAGAAAGCCACGGCUAACUACGUG